rnacentral:rRNA from 1 species
AGGGAAUCUUCGGCAAUGGACGGAAGUCUGACCGAGCAACGCCGCGUGAGUGAAGAAGGUUUUCGGAUCGUAAAGCUCUGUUGUAAGAGAAGAACGAGUGUGAGAGUGGAAAGUUCACACCGUGACGGUAUCUUACCAGAAAGGGACGGCUAACUACGUGCCAGCAGCCGCGGUAAUACGUAGGUCCCGAGCGUUGUCCGGAUUUAUUGGGCGUAAAGCGAGCGCAGGCGGUUAGAUAAGUCUGAAGUUAAAGGCUGUGGCUUAACCAUAGUAGGCUUUGGAAACUGUUUAACUUGAGUGCAAGAGGGGAGAGUGGAAUUCCAUGUGUAGCGGUGAAAUGCGUAGAUAUAUGGAGGAACACCGGUGGCGAAAGCGGCUCUCUGGCUUGUAACUGACGCUGAGGCUCGAAAGCGUGGGGAGCAAACAGGAUUAGAUACCCUGGUAGUCCACGCCGUAAACGAUGAGUGCUAGGUGUUAGACCCUUUCCGGGGUUUAGUGCCGUAGCUAACGCAUUAAGCACUCCGCCUGGGGAGUACGACCGCAAGGUUG